rnacentral:rRNA from 1 species
GAGUAACGCAUCGGAACGUACCGAGUAGUGGGGGAUAACUGUCCGAAAGGAUGGCUAAUACCGCAUACGCUUUGAGAAGGAAAGCGGGGGAUCUUCGGACCUCGCGCUAUUCGAGCGGCCGAUGUCUGAUUAGCUGGUUGGUGGGGUAAAGGCCUACCAAGGCGACGAUCAGUAGCGGGUCUGAGAGGAUGAUCCGCCACACUGGGACUGAGACACGGCCCAGACUCCUACGGGAGGCAGCAGUGGGGAAUUUUGGACAAUGGGCGCAAGCCUGAUCCAGCCAUGCCGCGUGUCUGAAGAAGGCCUUCGGGUUGUAAAGGACUUUUGUCAGGGAAGAAAAGCUUGAGGCUAAUACCCUUGAGUGAUGACGGUACCUGAAGAAUAAGCACCGGCUAACUACGUGCCAGCAGCCGCGGUAAUACGUAGGGUGCGAGCGUUAAUCGGAAUUACUGGGCGUAAAGCGGGCGCAGACGGUUACUUAAGU